CACGUAGUUAGCCGGGGCUUCUUAAUCAGGUACCGUCUGGCGACCCAAAGGUCGCUAUUUCUUCCCUGUCUGAUAGAGCUUUACAUACCGAAAUACUUCUUCACUCACGCGGCGUCGCUGCAUCAGGGUUUCCCCCAUUGUGCAAUAUUCCCCACUGCUGCCUCCCGUAGGAGUUUGGGCCGUGUCUCAGUCCCAAUGUGGCCGUUCACCCUCUCAGGCCGGCUACUGAUCGUCGCCUUGGUGAGCCAUUACCCCGCCAACAAGCUAAUCAGACGCGGAACCAUCGUAUACCACCGGUAGUUUUUCACACCACUUCAUGCGAAGCUGUGCGCUUAUGCGGUAUUAGCACCUUAUUUACUAAGUGUUAACUCCCCAGUAUACGGCUAGGUUUUCCACGUCGUUACUCACCCGUCCGCCACUAACUACAUAAUACUACUAGGUUACUAAUAUGACGUCCCGUUCGUACUUGUCACUAGUCGUUAAGACCGACGCCG
rnacentral:rRNA from 1 species